rnacentral:rRNA from 1 species
AUUGAACGCUGGCGGCAGGCUUAACACAUGCAAGUCGAGCGAGCGGCGGACGGGUGAGUAAUGUCUGGGAAACUGCCUGAUGGAGGGGGAUAACUACUGGAAACGGUAGCUAAUACCGCAUACCAUCAGAUGUGCCCAGAAGGGAUUAGCUAGUAGGUGGGGUAAUGGCUCACCUAGGCGACGAUCCCUAGCUGGUCUGAGAGGAUGACCAGCCACCCUGAAACGGAGACACGUUCCAGACGCCGACGGGGGGCAGCAGUGGGGAUGAUUGCACAAUGGGCGCAAGCCUGAUGCAGCCAGGCCGCGUGUGUGAAGAAGGCCUUCGGGUUGUAAAUCACUUUCAGCGAGGAGGCGUUACUCGCAGAAGAAGCACCGGCUAACUCCGUGCCAGCAGCCGCGGUAAUUC